AACGAACGCUGGCGGCGUGCUUAAGACAUGCAAGUCGUACGGAAAGGCCCCCUUCGGGGGUACGUCGAGUGGCGCACGGGUGAGUAACGCGUGGGUAAUCUGCCUUCGGGUCGUGGGACAACCUCGGGAAACGUAGGGCUAAUACCAGAUAAGACCACGAGUUCUUCGGAGCUCGCGGAAAAAGAAUGGCCUCUCCUUGGAAGCUAUCGCCCGUCGAUGAGCCUGCGUCCCAUUAGCUAGUUGGGAGGUAACGGCUCACCAAGGCUUCGAUGGGUAGCUGGUCUGAGAGGAUGAUCAGCCACACUGGAACUGAGAUACGGUCCAGACUCCUAC
rnacentral:rRNA from 1 species